rnacentral:rRNA from 1 species
AACGAACGCUGGCGGCAUGCCUAACACAUGCAAGUCGAACGAGACCUUCGGGUCUAGUGGCGCACGGGUGCGUAACACGUGGGAAUUUGCCUCGGGGUAUGGAAUAACUCAGGGAAACUUGAGCUAAUACCAUAUAAUGUCUUCGGACCAAAGAUUUAUCGCCCUGAGAUAAGCCCGCGUAGGAUUAGCUAGUUGGUGGGGUAAAGGCUCACCAAGGCGACGAUCCUUAGCUGGUCUGAGAGGAUGAUCAGCCACACUGGGACUGAGACACGGCCCAGACUCCUACGGGAGGCAGCAGUGGGGAAUAUUGGACAAUGGGCGAAAGCCUGAUCCAGCAAUGCCGCGUGAGUGAUGAAGGGCCUUCGGGUUGUUAAAGGACUCUUUACUUC